UACAGAGGUCCCGAGCGUUGUUCGGAUUCACUGGGCGUAAAGGGUGCGUAGGUGGCUGUGUAAGUUUGGUGUGAAAGCUCGGAGCUUAACUCCGAAAAGGCAUUGAAUACUACAUGGCUGGAGGGUCGGAAGGGAGACUGGAAUUCUCGGUGUAGCAGUGAAAUGCGUAGAUAUCGAGAGGAACACCAGUGGCGAAGGCGAGUCUCUGGACGACACCUGACACUGAGGCACGAAAGCUAGGGGAGCAAACAGG
rnacentral:rRNA from 1 species